AUUGGAAGAAGCGAAAUGGCGUGAAAUUCGAACGCCAUAAAACCAGGAGAAGGCGCAAUGAUGGACAUGCCAACCGAGGAAGCCGGUAAUUCUGGCAAAACGCGUCUUGGCGAAAGGAGCAGGCUGUAUAUUAUACAUUUGUAUAUAUACACAUUUUUUAUUUUUGCAUAUUUUAGUGUUAUUUUAAUUGAUACAAAAUAAAAAAAAUUCUGAAGUUUAUCAUUUCAUACCUGGUUCCAGUAAGGGAGGUGUCACCCUGGAAUUUGACACCAAGCGAAGACACUUAGAGCCAGUCUAUAAA